GGUGGACAGGUUUCAGCAGAGCUUCCAGACUAAACAGACUAAGAAGAAGGACCUGGCUACCCACAUCUGAGAAAAUUGGACAUGAAAACCCUAUGAAUAGCAGCGGAGUAUUAUCUGAUGUAGCGCCGGAAGUGAGAGGAUGGCACAAGAAGACCAGGCAGGGUUGCUCUCUGCUGUACACAGGGUCGCUAGGAGUCAGAAUCAACUCGACAGCACUAACAACAAAAUACAAUUCCUGGCAAAGCUCUUUAUCUGAAAUUUUAUUCAUUAUCAUAAUACUUUGGAUUUCACAGGAAAAACAAAAGUACCAUGGUUGAGUCCUGAAAGAUGAGAGAGAGCCAGCAUGUGAACGGCAAUGAGGACCAAGUUGCUGGCAGGAAAAAAACAAGUGCAAAACUCAGAAGCAUCAGACAGCUUGGCAAAUGGUAGAAGAAUAUAUAGGCAGGUUUUGGGGGAAGGUCAUCAAGAAGACAAGACCACCAGUUGACCUGCGAGCUGGACCUAACAAUUGGGAGACCCCCACCCGCUUCCCGUCUUUGGAAUGUGCAUUGCCUUCCCUACUCUCAGAAGCUGCCCUAAGGUACAGCCCUGAGAUAGCAAUGUGGUAAUGAGGCUAUCUGGACUGGGUGCAUGACUAAACCCUCCCAGGGCCCGUGUAUACGUGACUGAAUCCAGCUAAGGCCUCUAUAAACUUUUAAGAUUUGGAAGGUGGGUGCGGAAAACUACUUGUAUUGCAGCUGCCCAGACAAGUCUUGUAAGUUCCUUGGUCAUUAAAAC
rnacentral:lncRNA from 1 species